AAAACAAACAACGCAAAAAGGAACGACGGCGACAAAAAAACUGCAACAAUAAAUACAACAGGGACCAUUUGCAGGACCCGGGCGUACCCUCCCUUUCUGAGACGGCAUGCAUUCCUCGUCUCCCAUAUGUUGGCCACCCGAACGGGCCAAUCUCAGCCUGCGUUGGACAUCUCGUUUGCCUCCCCUGGUACAAAAAAUUA